rnacentral:rRNA from 1 species
GAUGAACGCUGGCGGCGUGCCUAAUACAUGCAGGUCGAGCGAACAGAUGAGGAGCUUGCUCCUCUGACGUUAGCGGCGGACGGGUGAGUAACACGUGGAUAACCUACCUAUAAGACUGGGAUAACUUCGGGAAACCGGAGCUAAUACCGGAUAAUAUAUUGAACCGCAUGGUUCAAUAGUGAAAGACGGUUUUGCUGUCACUUAUAGAUGGAUCCGCGCCGCAUUAGCUAGUUGGUAAGGUAACGGCUUACCAAGGCAGCGAUGCGUAGCCGACCUGAGAGGGUGAUCGGCCACACUGGAACUGAGACACGGUCCAGACUCCUACGGGAGGCAGCAGUAGGGAAUCUUCCGCAAUGGGCGAAAGCCUGACGGAGCAACGCCGCGUGAGUGAUGAAGGUCUUCGGAUCGUAAAACUCUGUUAUUAGGGAAGAACAAAUGUGUAAGUAACUAUGCACGUCUUGACGGUACCUAAUCAGAAAGCCACGGCUAACUACGUG